CCCUUAGAUGUCCUGGGCCGCACGCGCGUUACACUGAUGCAUUCAACGAGCUUAUAACCUUGGCCGAGAGGCCUGGGCAAUCUUGUUAACGUGCAUCGUGAUAGGGAUAGAUUAUUGAAAUUAUUAAUCUUGAACGAGGAAUUCCUAGUAAACGCAGAUCAUCAAUCUGCAUUGAUUACGUCCCCGCCCUUUGUACACACCGCCCGUCGCACCUACCGAUUGGAUGGUCCAGUGAAGCCUCGGGAUUGUGGUUCUUGCCGCUUUAUUGUGGCGUGACCGCGAGAACUUGUCUAAACCUUAUCAUCUAGAGGAAGGUGGAGUCGUAACA
rnacentral:rRNA from 1 species